rnacentral:rRNA from 1 species
UACGUAGGGUGCGAGCGUUGUCCGGAAUUAUUGGGCGUAAAGAGCUCGUAGGCGGCCUGUCGCGUCGGUUGUGAAAGCCCGGGGCUUAACCCCGGGUCUGCAGUCGAUACGGGCUAGCUAGAGUGUGGUAGGGGAGAUCGGAAUUCCUGGUGUAGCGGUGAAAUGCGCAGAUAUCAGGAGGAACACCGGUGGCGAAGGCGGGUCUCUGGGCCGUAACUGACGCUGAGGAGCGAAAGCGUGGGGAGCGAACAGG